CACUGCUCAUCGGGAGCCCGGAGUUCCCACAGAGGCUGGUGGGAAAGGAUAGCGAAGAACAGAGGGUCAUGUUCCACAUAAACCUUCCCUUGGGAGCCCUGUGAGUGACUGGAAACUGAGGCCCAGAAGUGACACGGCUCGCCCAGUGGCUGCAGUAGAGUCCAUAUACAUAAGCCACUCUUCCCAACACAGUUACCCACCAUCUGGGAAGGCUGAAGGCUUGCUGGUCUGCAGGACAGAGAAUCUUCCUCCACCCUCUGCCCGCCGGGGCCAUGCUGCAGGACACCUUGUCAGUCUCCAAGAAGGAAAGUAGUCCUUUUGUAUCUCUGUCUUCCGGAAUUACCUUGGUUGGAAAGGCACUGGAAAUUGAGCCCAGGACCUUGGACGUGCUGGCCAAGCACUCACCACCGAGCCUCUUAUCCUCUUUAGAAUAAAAUUCAAGCCAGAUGGUAGUGGCUCACACCUUUAAACCCAGCACUCGGGAGGCAAA